GGAUGAAAGCUACAGCAGCCACACAAAGUAGCAUUGAGAGGAGAGAGACAAACACACUCUAUUCAUGUCCCCUUCAGGGACAGCCAGAGGGCCUCAAAGGUAACAUUCACUCCCAACACAGGGAAAGGGCAGAGAGUGGGGGAGGAGCGCAGAGAUGGGCAUCGUCGAUGAGGUGACAGUCCCAAAAUGCACAUCACAAACACGGGUGAGCUCUUCAUUUGAGAAAAGAAGCCUCCAUAUGGGAAGCCUCCCGUAGAUAUCAAUCAGCUCUGGCACAGCAAGCUGCAAGUACCAAAUCCAAAGUCAAAGGAGAUCCAGAUCAUUCCACAGCCAAGGUGGCACCAACAGACGAGAAACACACUCACCCAGAA